UUUGUGAUGAAUUAUAGAGGAGCUAAAGCAUAACUGUGUAGGCCUGGAUGAGAAAGAGAAAGUUGGUGUUCUAAGGUCUUAUAGGCACUUCUUGGACAUUUAAAGAGACGUGAAAUCCUGUCCACUCAUUUACAACCCAAAUGGCUGUGGAGCGAUGUGAUCGGGAAUCUGCUGGACCCCGGGCGUGUUUUUAUUCCUCCAUCGAGGGACGAGAGGCAAACUUCCUCACCGCAUCAUUUCCAUUUCUGAAAUUCGGUUUACUUUCUCCCAGAUCUACUUGCUGACAUCAGCCCUGCUGUUUGAGGGCGCAGUCGGUGUGUGUUUAUUUCUUGACUUCUUGGCAUUCAGCUGCAGUUAACAAAGUGAUUUAUGUGAUUUUCUUAAUAACCAAUAAAACAUUUGGUGAUUUUUUUUCUUCUGUUAACACA